CUUGCCAGGGAACUACGAGCCCCAGCUUAAAACCCAAAGGACUUGGCGGUGCUUUAGACCCCCCUAGAGGAGCCUGUUCUAGAACCGAUAAUCCCCGUUAAACCUCACCCUCUCUUGUUCAUCCCGCCUAUAUACCGCCGUCGUCAGCUUACCCUGUGAAGGUUCCAUAGUGAGCUUAAUUGGUAAAACCCAAAACGCCAGGUCGAGGUGUAGCGUACGAGAGGGAAAGAAAUGGGCUACAUUCACUGAACCAGUGUAUACGAACAAUGCCUUGAAAUUAGACAUUCAAAGGAGGAUUUAGCAGUAAGAGGGAAAUAGAGCGUCCCCCUGAAAUUGGCCCUGAAGCGCGCACACACCGCCCGUCACUCUCCCCACAACUAGACUACACUGUAAAUAAAACAAAGCUUUUAAACAAGGGGAGGCAAGUCGUAACAUGGUAAGUGUACCGGAAGGUGCACUUGGAAAAAU
rnacentral:rRNA from 1 species